GUGGGAUGAAUAAAAAAAAACCCUGUAUUUACAAAGCUCGCCCUCUUUCUCUCCUUGCUGCCUUCUCUUUUUUGUUGUUUGUAUGUGUGUGUGAGUGUGUGUGUGAGUGUGUGUGAGUGUAUGAGAGAGAGAGA